GCCCUGGUCCUUGAACUCGUAAGCGCCAGCCGGCUUGAAGAGACCAGCUGCACCCGCUGCAACAGCAGUGGUACCGCCCGUGUUGCUCUGGUCGAGCGUCGAGUACAGCACUUCGCCGGAGAGCGUCAGGUUACGAACCGGAGUCCAUGCCGUACGCGAACCGAUCUGCCAGAUGUUGAAGUCCGGGUUGCAGGUGCUGCCUACACCGUAGAACGCCGCGGUGUUGGUGCAGAUGAUGCCGGUCGCUGUUCCGUUGUAAUCGACAUUGGUGUAGCUGCCGAA
rnacentral:misc_RNA from 1 species